rnacentral:rRNA from 1 species
UACGUAGGGGGCGAGCGUUGUCCGGAAUUAUUGGGCGUAAAGAGCGUGUAGGCGGUUCGGUAAGUCUGCCGUGAAAACCCAGGGCUCAACCCUGGGCGUGCGGUGGAUACUGCCGGGCUAGAGUCCGGAAGAGGCGAGUGGAAUUCCUGGUGUAGCGGUGGAAUGCGCAGAUAUCAGGAGGAACACCGAUAGCGAAGGCAGCUCGCUGGGACGGUACUGACGCUGAGGCGCGAAAGCGUGGGGAGCGAACAGG